rnacentral:tRNA from 1 species
CAUUAGAUAACUAAAUUAAGUAUUGGUCUCUUAAACCACUAAUAGUAUAAUAAAUAUUACUUCUAAUGA